rnacentral:rRNA from 1 species
UACGUAGGGUGCAAGCGUUGUCCGGAAUUAUUGGGCGUAAAGAGCUCGUAGGCGGUCUGUCGCGUCGGCUGUGAAAACCCGGGGCUCAACCUGGGAACUGCAUCUGUGACUGCAUCGCUGGAGUGCGGCAGAGGGGGAUGGAAUUCCUGGUGUAGCAGUGAAAUGCGUAGAUAUCAGGAGGAACACCGAUGGCGAAGGCAGGUCUCUGGGCUGACACUGACGCUCAUGCACGAAAGGCGUGGGGAGCAAACGAGG